AUCAGUCAACACCAUUUAUUUAUAUGGUAUCUUACCUCGUGAUGAAAGAAGUGAAAUGGAAAUGGAAAAACAGAUAAGUCCAUGUGUUCCCAGAGGUCAAGUGAGUGAUCAGAGUGACUUACGUGUCUUUAAUGGUCCCCUCAGAUUGACUAAACUUUAGUCAUAUUUCUUCCUAACUCUAGUCUCUAGAUCCCUCUUUUCUUAGAACAUUUGCUUUAGAAAACUUGUAAUUGUACUUUUCAUUUCUGCUCCUUUGAAAUGUAAAUUAUCUCCAAGCCUCUCUCUUUAGAACCUGAGAGCCAUCACUUUGAAAUAUAUACAUCAGAAAGGAAGUGCCUCAAAAGAAGACAUACAAAUGUCCAACAGGUAUAUAAAAAAGUUGAAUAUCACUAAUAAUCAGAGAAAUGCCAAUCAAAAUUACAAUGAGAUAUAAUUUCACUGCAGUUAUAAUGGCUUUUAUCCAAAGGCAGACAAUAACAAAUGCUGGUGCAGAUGUGGAAAAACGGGAAGCCCCUACGCUGUUUAUAAGAAUGUAAAUUAGUACCACCACUAAGGAGAACAGUCUGGGGGUGUCCUCAAAAAACUAUAAAUAGACCUACCGUAUGAUACAGCAGCCUUACUGCUAGGUAUAUACACAAAAUAAUGGUAAUUAGUAGGAUGAACUGCUGUCUGCAUUCUCAUGUUUAUUGCAGCACUAUUCACAAUAGCCGAGAUAUGGAAUCAACCUGAGUACCCAUCAGUGGAUAAAUGGAUAAAGAAAAUGUGGUACAUAUACACGAUGAAACAUGAUUCAUCCAUAAAAAUAAAUCCUGUCAUUCACAACAACAUAGAUAGAACUGAAGGAUAUUAUGUUAAGUGAAAUAAGCUAGCCACAGAAGGACAAAUUUCACAUAUUCUCACUGAUAUGUGGGAGCUAUUUUUUUUUUUUUAAUGAACCCAUGGGCUGGGGUUAAAUCCUGUCAUUCACAACAACAUAGAUAGAACUGAAGGAUAUUAUGUUAAGUGAAAUGCCACAGAAGGACAAAUUUCACAUAUUCUCACUCAUAUGUGGGAGCUAAAUUUUUUUUUAAGUGAACCCAUGGGCUGGGAUCAGUGCCUGUGAUCCCAGCGAUUUGGGUGGCUGAGGAGGGAGGAUCACUUGAGUCCAGGAAUUUGAGGCCAGCCUAGACAACACAGGGAGACCCUGUCUCUACAAGAAACAAAAAUAAAUUAUCCAGGCAUAAUGGCAUGUGCCUGUAAUCGCAGCUACUGGGGAGGCGAAGCGGUAGGAGUAUUGAAUCUGGGAGGUUAAGGGUGCAGUGAGCCAUGAUCACACCACGGCACUCCAGAUUGGGUGACAGAGUGACAUCGCUCCUUACCCCAUCUUCUCCAAAAAAAAAAGAAAGAAAGAAGGAAGGAAGGAAGGGAGGGAGGGAAGGAGGAAGGAAAGAAAGGAAGGAAGGAGGAAAGAAAGAAAGAAAGAAAGAAAGAAAGAGAGAGAGAGAAAGAAAGAAAGUAAAGAAAGAAAGAAG
rnacentral:lncRNA from 10 species